UUAAAAAGCUCGUAGUUGAACC
rnacentral:siRNA from 1 species